GUAAGGAAUAUUGGUCAAUGGGGGCAACCCUGAACCAGCCAUGCCGCGUGAAGGAUGAAGGCGUUAUGCGUUGUAAACUUCUUUUGUAUGGGAAGAAUGACAGGGAUUUAUCCUUGGAGAGACGGUACCAUACGAAUAAGUACCGGCUAACUCCGUGCCAGCAGCCGCGGUAAUACGGAGGGUGCAAGCGUUAUCCGGAAUCACUGGGUUUAAAGGGUACGUAGGCGGUUAAUUAAGUCAGUAGUGAAAGACUGUCGCUCAACGACGGAUGUGCUAUUGAUACUGGUUAACUUGAAGCAGGUUAGAGUUGGCGGAAUGGGUCAUGUAGCGGUGAAAUGCUUAGAUAUGACUUGGAACACCGAUAGCGAAGGCAGCUGACUGAGCCUUGAUUGACGCUGAGGUACGAAAGUGUGGGUAGCGAACAGGAUUAGAAACCCCUGUAGUCC
rnacentral:rRNA from 1 species